rnacentral:lncRNA from 1 species
UCAUUUUUCUAUACUAAGAAGUCUUCUUUAAAAGUUAACAUGAUGCAUCUUAUCUUCCUUAUACCUAAAGGCUAAAAAAAUCACAUCUAUGGAACUGGUUAAUAAUUUAAAAAAAUCACAUCUAAUCACAAGAUUCACAUGCUUUCUAGACAUUAAACAAAACCCUAGUAGGAAGCCGAAAAAUAAACCAGACAAUUUGAAAUGAACCUAUGUUGUUAAAAGAGUUCGAGAUAUCAUAAGUAAAUCAUCGUAGUGCAGAGGAGUUCCAAUCAAAAGCACACGGUGUUUGCUAGAAAAUUGCAUCAAUGAAGAAAAACUCAGUCAUAAGGUGGCAUUGCUAUUUCAAACUCUCCAAGUUAAAAAUAAAGUGAUGGGAGACAAAUAUAAGAGAAGGGAAUAAAUAUAUAUUAAGUACCAAGUCCCAUUAUAAGAGAAUCUAUAUCACUUCUAUCUACAAAUAGGGCAGCACUUACAUAAACAAAGUUUGGUUUCAAUAUCCAUCACUUUUUAGUAAAGGCCCUGUCAAUGAUUCUCUCCAAUUAUAAUUAUUGAUAUAGUUGGGCAAGGAUGUAAUGGUUCCUACAUGAACAAUUUAUCAUUAAUGAGCAGUAGAGAGUAUGUAACUAGUGAUAAAGCUACAUAAGUGAUUCACUAAAAAUA